rnacentral:rRNA from 1 species
UACAUGGGGUGCAAACGUUGCUCGAAAUUAUUGGGCGUAAAGCGCGCGUAGGCGGUUACUUAUGUCGGAUGUGAAAGCCCUCGGCUUAACUGAGGAAGUGCAUUCGAAACUGGGUAGCUAGAGUACUAAAGAGGGUCGCGGAAUUCCCGGUGUAGAGGUGAAAUUCGUAGAUAUCGGGAGGAACACCGGUGGCGAAGGCGGCGACCUGGGUAGAUACUGACGCUGAGGCGCGAAAGCCAGGGGAGCAAACGGG